rnacentral:lncRNA from 1 species
UUUGUUGCAUUAGCACUACAACAGAAUUAGAUUAUAGGGAUACAUGUUUGGGACACUUUUGAGUAAGUGUCUCAUUUAUGCUAAAACUUAAAAAAGUAUCUGCUAAUGCCUAAAUAUAAAGCCCAAUCCAACCAAAAAUAAAAGAUUACUCUACUCAACCCACCACACCCAGUCCAUUUGGCCCGAUUACAAACAGAAAAAAAAGAAAAAUUAAUUGCCAUCUUUUCUUCUCUCUUCACUCAAUCCACUGAAAUUCUAGACGAAGAGCCUUUCCUGUCGUCCUCCUCCGCCAUCGCAGCCAACGAGAUAAAGUUUCGGCGGUUGCUAAAUGCUUAAAUAAGUAUUCGUAAAUUAGCAGCACUCUUUUAGGUUAUAGCGACACUCUUUAACUGUCACUAUAUACCUAGCGACCUCAUAUAUAGCAACACUUUUUAAAAGUAUCGGUAAUUUUAGCUAGGAGCACUUUUUUGACAUGUACAUACAUUUAAAAGUGUCGCUAUAAACCGUUUUUGUUGUAGUGUAGUAAAAUAAACUGGCUAGUUAAAUUGAUCAUAU